AUUAUAUUUAAACAUUCGAUUUUUUUCCACAUUGUCUUUUCCACAUCAUCAUCAGUGUGUAUGCAACAUGUACAACAAUAAUGGAUUGGUCUUUUUUUUCAACUGUGGCGGAAUAUUAUUCCAGCGAAGAUACUUCAAGUUCGGAAAUCACUAUAUUUUAAUGAUUAAUAACAAACACAUCAACAAAACUGCUGGCACCAAAUGAAAAUUUUUAUUUAAUAAUGAAGAACUUAAAGAAUUUAUUGAUGAAAAUUGGAAUAAGUGGUAUCGGAGUGAUACUGAGAAAGAUAUCAAACAAUAUUACCGAUGCAACAAGGUGAAAAAGAAUGACAUACAAUGCCGAGCACACAUUUUUAUCUCAUAUGACAAAUUUUCUGAAUCAAUUUAUUUAUACCAAAACAACGAAGAUCAUACAUGUAGCGAAAUCAUCUCAACAAGUAAUCGACUAACAAAAGAAUUGAAAAACAAAAUAACAUCGAUGUAUGAAGAGAAGCAAAAACCAAAACAAAUUUAUGAAAAGCUAAAAGGAGAAGGAAAUGUAUUGAAACAAACCCUGUUUGGGAAGGAUUUCCGUUUUUUGUUAUCGGAACGGUUGACAAAACAAAAAAAUUCCAUCCAAUCGCUUUGUCUAUUUGCUCUGAUGAAUCAAGA